rnacentral:rRNA from 1 species
UACGUAGGGGGCGAGCGUUGUCCGGAUUUAUUGGGCGUAAAGAGCUCGUAGGCGGUUGGGUAAGUCGGGUGUGAAAACUCAGGGCUCAACUCUGAGACGCCACUCGAUACUGCCCUGACUCGAGUCCGGUAGGGGAGCGUGGAAUUCCCGGUGUAGCGGUGAAAUGCGCAGAUAUCAGGAAGAACACCGAUGGCGAAGGCAGCUCUCUGGGACGGUACUGACGCUGAGACGCGAAAGCGUGGGGAGCGAACAGG